rnacentral:rRNA from 1 species
GAUGAACGCUGGCGGCGUGCCUAAUACAUGCAAGUCGAGCGAACAGACGAGGAGCUUGCUCCUCUGACGUUAGCGGCGGACGGGUGAGUAACACGUGGAUAACCUACCUAUAAGACUGGGAUAACUUCGGGAAACCGGAGCUAAUACCGGAUAACAUGUUGAACCGCAUGGUUCAACAGUGAAAGACGGUCUUGUUGUCACUUAUAGAUGGAUCCGCGCCGCAUUAGCUAGUUGGUAAGGUAACGGCUUACCAAGGCAACGAUGCGUAGCCGACCUGAGAGGGUGAUCGGCCACACUGGAACUGAGACACGGUCCAGACUCCUACGGGAGGCAGCAGUAGGGAAUCUUCCGCAAUGGGCGAAAGCCUGACGGAGCAACGCCGCGUGAGUGAAGAAGGUCUUCGGAUCGUAAAACUCUGUUAUUAGGGAAGAACAAAUGUGUAAGUAACUAUGCACGUCCUGACGGUACCUAAUCAGAAAGCCACGGCUAACUACGUG